UUAACUGAAACCAAAAAGAGGUAUACCACUAUUAAUGGUAUCAUUGAUUCCAUCCAGUUUAG
rnacentral:tRNA from 1 species